GACCGCGUAGCUCAGUUGGAAUAGCAUUGGGCUAGUAUUCCAAAGGUCGUAGGUUCGAAUCCCGCCGUGGCCG
rnacentral:tRNA from 1 species